UCCAGCCACUUUUGCAGAAAAAGACCUAUGGUAGUCAUAGAAUGCCGAACCACCAUAUUUGUUGCCCAGGUCUACCAGCUUGUGCAUAUAGAGAUCAAACUCCUCUCUUCUGUUGGGAUAAACCGCACAGAUGACAUCCCUGUAAAUACCAAACGCUAGUACAAAUUCUGGGAUAGUUAGUUUUCUGUUCAGGCGGGCAUCCCUAGAUCUGACAAUAACAGAAACAUCAUCAUAAGCAUACGUCUUAUGUUCCACAAUGUCCUGGGAGGCAAUCAACAGGCAAGCCAGGUUGACGUCUUUACCUUCCAGGAUAUCCCUUUUGAUAUGCUCAGGUAUCAUGUGGGCCGGGCUAACUUCCUGGUCAUCCAGGGUGCUAGUUGGAGCGACUAAUGGCAAGUCUGGUGUUUGUACCGCAGCCGCGGGUGGCCCUGCUAGAGUGAGGGCCGUGGUGACCGACUCAAGUUUCUCCAGCCUGGAGUUGACCUUGCCCAUGGAUGCCAUGAGUGAGGAUAACAUGGCAUGUAUGUCCCCUGGGUUGGACUGGCUAGAUCCUUCCCCGGCCUCUAUGUUAUUAGUUGAUGUGCGUAGCAGUUUGAAAAGUUCUGCCUUCCUUGCUGUAGCGGGAUAGGGGAUUUGUUGUCUCCUUAAUUCCGUGGUUAUGCGCGGGAUUGUCCAGGAUCUGAUUGAUGCUGGACUAGCUAGCUCUCCUCCUUGUGGGGAGUGACAGCUCUAGCCGGGGUGCUAGGCAGGGAGAAAUUCUCUACCCCUUCCUGAGACAUACUAUAAAUAAAACAAUAAUUAGUAUAUAGAACCACCAAAUUGUACUGGCAGGCUAGCUAGGCCGGAUGGCGAAAGUAUUAUACUUGUUUGGUGACAGGUGAGGCCCUGCUAAUUGCCAAGCGGCUUGAGAGGCUCUAUGCGUUGGCGCGAGGGGUUAUUGAGGCCACUUGACGUAGUGGCAGGAGUUUUAGGCCACUCGGUGACUGUACGACAGAAAACAGAGGAAGGUAGUGACAGGUGAGGCCCUCUCUUUGCAACAUGCGAGGCGGCUAGCUAACGUGUGGCCCGAUGGGUGUUUGCCUCUGGAACGUUUGAGGCGGGGUGUUGGCCUCGCGGGACCACUAACUGAUGGCGACAGCCAAGACGGGGUAAAUACCUAUUGGGAAUCUUGUGACCCUAUUGCCAGUACUCUAAACUAGGGGGAU